UACGUAGGUGGCGAGCGUUGUCCGGAAUUACUGGGCGUAAAGGGCGUGUAGGCGGGUUAUUAAGUCAGAUGUGAAAUAUCCGGGCUCAACCGAGGUAUUGCGUUUGAAACUGGGUAGCUUGAGGGCAGGAGAGGAUAGUGGAAUUCCUAGUGUAGCGGUGAAAUGCGUAGAUAUUGGGAGGAACACCAGUGGCGAAAGCGGCUCUCUGGCCUGUAACUGACGCUGAGGCGCGAAAGCGUGGGGAGCAAACAGG
rnacentral:rRNA from 1 species